rnacentral:rRNA from 1 species
CAAUAGCGUAUAUUUAAGUUGUUGCAGUUAAAAAGCUCGUAGUUGGAUUUCGGUUAAGAGCGACCGGUCCGCCGUUUGGUGUGCACUGGUUGGUUUUAACUUCCUGUAGAGGACGUGCUCUGGGUUUAACGACCUGGACUCGGAGUCUACGUGGUUACUUUGAAAAAAUUAGAGUGUUCAAAGCGGGCUUACGCUUGAAUAUUUCAGCAUGGAAUAACACUAUAGGACUCCUGUCCUAUUUCGUUGGUCUCGGGACGGGAGUAAUGAUUAAGAGGAACAGUUGGGGGCAUUCGUAUUUCAUUGUCAGAGGUGAAAUUCUUGGAUUUAUGAAAGACGAACUUCUGCGAAAGCAUUUGCCAAGAAUGUUUUCAUUAA